rnacentral:misc_RNA from 1 species
AAGUCGUAACAAGGUCUCCGUAGGUGAACCUGCGGAGGGAUCAUUAACACGUUUUUUAAACGUAUUCUACCAAACUAUGGAACUUGACUCUAGCAAUAGGGUCAGUCAAUCUCCCCACAGAGCGAAGGCAUAGAGAUAUGCUCGAGCUAUGAGGGCUAUGAUUUUUCUAUAUAUUCACCCUUUUCCACCUGGAUUGAUUUCGAUCAACUCCAACCAUAAAGUGACCUAGCCUUAAUUCUUGACCUAGUCAAUGUUAAGGUUGAUAUCAAUCAAUAAGAGCACAACUCUUAGCAACGGAUAUCUUGGUUCUC